AACGAACGCUGGCGGCAUGCCUAACACAUGCAAGUCGAACGAGACCUUCGGGUCUAGUGGCGCACGGGUGCGUAACGCGUGGGAACCUGCCCUUAGGUUCGGAAUAACUCCCCGAAAGGGGUGCUAAUACCGGAUAAUGUCUUCGGACCAAAGAUUUAUCGCCUUUGGAUGGGCCCGCGUUGGAUUAGCUAGUUGGUAGGGUAAAAGCCUACCAAGGCGACGAUCCAUAGCUGGUCUGAGAGGAUGAUCAGCCACACUGGGACUGAGACACGGCCCAGACUCCUACGGGAGGCAGCAGUGGGGGAUAUUGGACAAUGGGCGAGAGCCUGAUCCAGCAAUGCCGCGUGAGUGAUGAAGGCCUUAGGGUUGUAAAGCUCUUUUACCCGGGAUGAUAAUGACAGUACCGGGAGAAUAAGCACCGGCUAACUCCGUG
rnacentral:rRNA from 1 species